rnacentral:rRNA from 1 species
GAUUAACGCUGGCGGCGUGCAUAACACAUGCAAGUCGAACGAUGAAACUUAACUGAUUUCUUCGGAAUGAUUUUAAGUGGCUUAGUGGCGGACGGGUGAGUAACGCGUGAGUAACCUGCCUUGGAGAAGGGGAUAGCCUUUGGAAACGAAGAAUAAUACCCUAUGAUAUGAUAAUAUCUCAUGAUAUUAUCAUCAAAGAUUUAUCGCUCUAAGAUGGACUUGCGUCUGAUUAGUUAGUUGGUGAGGUAACAGCUCACCAAGGCAGCGAUCAGUAGCCGGCUUGAGAGAGUGUACGGCCACAUUGGGACUGAGACACGGCCCAGACUCCGACGGGAGGCAGCAGUGGGGAAUUUUGCACAAUGGGGGAAACCCUGAUGCAGCGACGCCGCGUGAUUUAGAAGGCCUUCGGGUUGUAAAAAUCUUUUGUAUGGGAAGAAAAUGACAGUACCAUACGAAUAAGGACCGGCUAAUUACGUG